AUUGAACGCUGGCGGCAGGCCUAACACAUGCAAGUCGAGCGGGGUUUUCGGACCUAGCGGCGGACGGGUGAGUAAUGCGUAGGAAGCUACCCGAUAGAGGGGGAUACCAGUUGGAAACGACUGUUAAUACCGCAUAAUGUCUACGGACCAAAGUGUGGGACCUUCGGGCCACAUGCUAUCGGAUGCGCCUACGUGGGAUUAGCUAGUUGGUGGGGUAAUGGCUCACCAAGGCGACGAUCCCUAGCUGGUUUGAGAGGAUGAUCAGCCACACUGGAACGGUGACACGGUCCGGACUCCUACGGGGGGAAGCAGUGGGGAAUAUUGGACAAUGGGCGCAAGCCUGAUCCAGCCAUGCCGCGUGUGUGAAGAAGGCCUUCGGGUUGUAAAGCACUUUCAGCGAGGAGGAAGGGUGGUGUGUUAAUAGCACAUCAUUUUGACGUUACUCGCAGAAGAAGCACCGGCUAACUCUGUGCCAGCCGCCGCGGUAAAAC
rnacentral:rRNA from 1 species